CCAAUAGCGUAUAUUAAAGUUGUUGCAGUUAAAAAGCUCGUAGUUGAAUUUCGGAAUCAAUAUAUCGGUCGUGCCUCUGGUACGCACUUAUUUAUUGAUUUCUCACUUCUGACGAAUCAUAAUGUCAUUAGUUUGGUGUUAUGAGGAAUCAGGACUGUUACUUUGAAAAAAUUAGAGUGUUUAAAGCAGGCUCGCGCUUGAAUACAUUAGCAUGGAAUAAUGAAAUAGGAUGUUUGAUCUUAUUUUGUUGGUUUCUAGGAUCGACAUAAUGAUUAAUAGGGAUAGUUGGGGGCAUUAGUAUUCAAUUGUCAGAGGUGAAAUUCUUGGAUUUAUUGAAGACUAACUACUGCGAAAGCAUUUGCCAAGGAUGUUUUCAUUAAUCAAGAACGAAAGUUAGGGGAUCGAAGACGAUCAGAUACCGUCGUAGUCUUAACCAUAAACUAUGCCGACUAGGGAUCGGAUGAUGUUAAUUUUUUAAUGACUCAUUCGGCGCCUUACG
rnacentral:misc_RNA from 1 species